rnacentral:rRNA from 1 species
GAUGAACGCUGGCGGCGUGCCUAAUACAUGCAAGUCGAGCGAACGGACGAGAAGCUUGCUUCUCUGAUGUUAGCGGCGGACGGGUGAGUAACACGUGGAUAACCUACCUAUAAGACUGGGAUAACUUCGGGAAACCGUAGCUAAUACCGGAUAAUAUUUUGAACCGCAUGGUUCAAAAGUGAAAGACGGUCUUGCUGUCACUUAUAGAUGGAUCCGCGCUGCAUUAGCUAGUUGGUAAGGUAACGGCUUACCAAGGCAACGAUGCAUAGCCGACCUGAGAGGGUGAUCGGCCACACUGGAACUGAGACACGGUCCAGACUCCUACGGGAGGCAGCAGUAGGGAAUCUUCCGCAAUGGGCGAAAGCCUGACGGAGCAACGCCGCGUGAGUGAUGAAGGUCUUCGGAUCGUAAAACUCUGUUAUUAGGGAAGAACAUAUGUGUAAGUAACUGCGCACAUCUUGACGGUACCUAAUCAGAAAGCCACGGCUAACUACGUG